GACCUCGCGCUAUUAGAUGAGCCCAUGUCGGAUUAGCUAGUUGGUAGGGUAACGGCCUACCAAGGCGACGAUCCGUAGCUGGUCUGAGAGGACGGCCAGCCACACUGUGACUGAGACACGGCCCAG
rnacentral:rRNA from 1 species